rnacentral:rRNA from 1 species
GACGAACGCUGGCGGCGUGCUUAACACAUGCAAGUCGAACGGAAAGGCCCUGCUUUUGUGGGGUGCUCGAGUGGCGAACGGGUGAGUAACACGUGAGUAACCUGCCCUUGACUUUGGGAUAACUUCAGGAAACUGGGGCUAAUACCGGAUAGGAGCUCCUGCUGCAUGGUGGGGGUUGGAAAGUUUCGGCGGUUGGGGAUGGACUCGCGGCUUAUCAGCUUGUUGGUGGGGUAGUGGCUUACCAAGGCUUUGAUGGGUAGCCGGCCUGAGAGGGUGACCGGCGACAUUGGGACUGAGAUACGGAGCAGACUGCAACGGGAGGCAGCAGGGGGGAAUAUUGCACAAUGGGCGGAAGCCUGAUGCAGCAACGCCGCGUGCGGGAUGACGGCCUUCGGGUUGUAAACCGCUUUCGCCGGUGACGAAGCGUGAGUGACGGUAAUGGGUAAAGAAGCACCGGCUAACUACGUG